rnacentral:lncRNA from 1 species
AUAAUUAGUGUUUAUCUAUAAGAAAAUUUCAAAAAAAGUAAAAUAAAAAUAAAAGUACUUCAUAAAGAGAUUUAUAAAAUAAAAAAUAUAUUUUGGUUGUUAUAAUUUAAAUAUAAAUAAAAUACAUAUUACAAUUAAAAUUAUAUAUUAGUAUGCUAUUAAAACUAAUAACUUUGAUUUUUUCUUUAAAUAAAUAUAUAAUAUAAAGUAUUUAUUAAAAAAAAUAAUGAUUAGGUCUCGAAAAUCUGAAGACCGGCUUUGAGGUUAUGCACACUUUAGUUUUUUUUCAACAAAAGACAAAACUAAACUAAGUAGAUUCCUGAGCCGAGAGCCAUCUCGGAGGAACGGAGUCGACAUAAACCAUAGCAGAAGGAUGCACACUUUAGUUAUACUAGGUGAUUUUCU